rnacentral:lncRNA from 1 species
AAUAGCCAGUCAGCACAGAAACCUUGUUUCUGAAGCUGUUUUGACUUCUGCCAACUUAAUUUUCUGUGAGCUUCACAGCUACUGACUGCAGUGCUCAGCAGCAGGGAUGUGAAGGUUUGGGGAAGGCAAGGAUGAUCCCUGCCUGCUGAGUGGACAGGACUUAUCUCGUUCUUUACUAUCCUGUCACUGCUGGCUCCUUCUUACCUAGGGCCAAAGAGAAAACAGAGGAAGUGCAGGUCCUAAAUUGUGUUCUCAGACACACAGAACCAUGUUUGCACAGAUUUGUGCUCUAUGACUGCUGAAUUUCCUCUUUUUUCUUCCUCUACCAGGUGAUGCAUCUGUGAAAAUGGGAUUUGUUGUCAUAUUUGCAACAGACAACAGCUAAUAUUUGUAGACUAUACUUCACUGGUAUGCUUAGAAGCAGGAAGAGUCCCCAGUUUUGACUCUGAGCAUUAACGAGUCUGUUACCUUUGCCUGCAAAACAGUAUCUUUAACCCAAUGAUAAAAAGGGUGGUGGGGUCUACUAACCACAACAGUCCAAUCAAUUGAGAUAUUUUCACCAUCUGUCUGUGGGUUUAAAAAUCUGGGCGUGGGCUACAGGAAACUGUUGGUGAAGAUGUCUGGACUCAAGAUUCCAGUUUUUGGAGGUCUAUUGGAAGGUGACACUGAAGGCCGUGAGGACCUGGAUGAGAAAACAUCUCACUAGCAAAUGUUCUGUUUUAGUUAAAUCAGCAUGUUGGAGGAUAGAGACUCAUGCAUGAAACCAAGAAAGGCUUGACUAAGGAAGCGUAAGGUGGAGAGUGUGCAGCUCUGGAUGAAAUAAUGGGACAUCUAAUGGCUAUACAGGACCAGGAAUCCAUAGAUGACAUUUGCAAACCCUUAAAGUUGACCUCUUCAGAACUUGUGCGUAGCAGCUGCCAGAACAGAUCUAUGAAAACGGGAGGUUGUUAGGAAUUACCUGAAAAGUGGAAGGAUCUUGAAAAGAUUGCCUUCACUGUAAAGCAUGAAGUGGUACCUCUGCAGUCCAAUGAAGUGUCUGUUAUCAGAAGAAAACCUGUACUUUUGGAGGUGAGAUCAGUUCUGUGCUCUGAACCAAAUGAUUUUUCGUUUUUUGUUCUGAUAACAAGCUGGUGGCAAGCUUCACUGAACUGAGAAAUUGUAAACUCUUAGAAAAGGCUGUCUAAAGAUAACAAUUCAAUGUUUCUCAGUAAUGUAUUCUGGAUGAAUCUGAUAAUUUAAAGCCCACUCCACCAAAAUGGGAGUGAUGCUUGUGUCCUCUUUAUCUUCAAUUAUGUCUAAUCUUUUUCUAAUUCAAACAUGGUGCUGCUGUUGUCAGAUCAAAUAUAGAUUUUAAAUGUUUUAUGCUUCUUCACUGGGAACGUUUUAAAUGUAUGCAGG